rnacentral:rRNA from 1 species
CACGUAGGUGGCGAGCGUUAUUCGGAUUCACUGGGCGUAAAGGGUCCGCAGGGGGCCUGCCAAGUCUGUCGUGAAAUCCCGGGGCUCAACCCCGGGUCUGCGGUGGAAACAGGCGGGCUGGAGUGUGUGAGGGGCAGACGGAACACCUGGUGUAGCGGUGGAAUGCGUGGAUAUCAGGUGGAACACCGAUGGCGAAGGCGGUCUGCUGGCACACAACUGACCCUCAGGGACGAAAGCGUGGGUAGCAAACAGGAUUAGAUACCCUGGUAGUCCACGCUGUAAACGUUGAGAACCAGAUAUGGUGGGGCUGGCCCCCUCCGUGUCCAAGCUAACGCGAUAAGUUCUCCGCCUGGGGACUACGGCCGCAAGGCUAAA